rnacentral:tRNA from 1 species
GCGGGGGUGGCCGAGCCGGACGAAGGCGGCGGACUUAAGAUCCGCUGGGCGCGAGGCCCUCGUGGGUUCAAAUCCCACCCCCCGCA